rnacentral:rRNA from 1 species
AACGAACGCUGGCGGCAGGCCUAACACAUGCAAGUCGAGCGAGGACUUCGGUCCUAGCGGCGGACGGGUGAGUAACGCGUGGGAACGUGCCCUUUGCUUCGGAAUAGCCCUGGGAAACUGGGAGUAAUACCGGAUGAGCCCUUUGGGGGAAAGAUUUAUCGGCGAAGGAUCGGCCCGCGUUGGAUUAGGUAGUUGGUGGGGUAAUGGCCUACCAAGCCGACGAUCCAUAGCUGGUUGGAGAGGAUGAUCAGCCACACUGGGACUGAGACACGGCCCAGACUCCUACGGGAGGCAGCAGUGGGGAAUCUUAGACAAGGGGGGAAACCCUGAUCUAGCCAUGCCGCGUGAGCGAUGAAGGCCUUAGGGUUGUAAAGCUCUUUCAGCUGGUAAGAUAAUGACGGUACCAGCAGAAGAAGCCCCGGCUAACUCCGUG